UACGAAGGGGGCUAGCGUUAAUCGGAAUUACUGGGCGUAAAGCGUGCGCAGGCGGUUCGUUAAGUCAGAUGUGAAAGCCCCGGGCUCAACCUGGGAACUGCAUUUGAAACUGGCGGGCUUGAGUAUGGCAGAGGGGGGUGGAAUUCCGCGUGUAGCAGUGAAAUGCGUAGAGAUGCGGAGGAACACCGAUGGCGAAGGCAGCCCCCUGGGCCAAUACUGACGCUCAGGCACGAAAGCGUGGGGAGCAAACAGG
rnacentral:rRNA from 1 species